CCCUUAGAUGUUCUGGGCAGCACGCGCGCUACAAUGGUCUUCGCAAACGGAUGCAUUCUCGAAGGAGAAUGCCAAUCUUGGAAUCUAUGCCUUGGUCGGGACAGUUGCUUGCAAUUUUUCGACUCGAACCAGGAAUUCCUUGUAAUCGUGAUUCAUCACAUCACGAUGAAUACGUCCCUGCCCUUUGUACACACCGCCUGUCGCUCCUACCGAUCGAAGAGUUAGGUGAAUUGUUUUGAUCGAUAAGAUUUGACUAUGGUUAACUCUCGUUGUGAAAUUCUGUGAAUCUGACUGUUUAGAGGAAGGAAAAGUCGUAACA
rnacentral:rRNA from 1 species